rnacentral:lncRNA from 1 species
GGCGGAAUGGGGGGUUCCUUGCCCCAUAAGUGGGGUUCUGUGCCCCAUAAGUGGGGGUUUGUGCCAUAUAAGGGGGGGGGUCUGUGCCCCAUAAGUGGUUCUGUGGGGCGGGAUGGGGGUUUCCAUGCCCCAUAAGUGGGGUUCUGUGCCCCAUAAGGGGGGGGUCUGUGCCCCAUAAAUGGUUCUGUGGGGCGGAAUGGGGGGUUCCUUGCCCCAUAAGUGGGGUUCUGUGCCCCAUAAGGGGGGGUCUGUGGGGCAGGAUGGGGGGUUCCGUGCCCCAUAAGUGGGGAUCUGUGCCCCAUAAGUGUGGGCCUGUGCCCCAUAAGUGGUGGGGGGUUCCGUGCCCCAUAAGUGGGGAUCUGUGCCCCAUAAGUGUGGGCCUGUGCCCCAUAAGUGGUUCUGUGAGGCAGGAUGGGGGGUUCCGUGCCCCAUCAGUGGUGUUAUGGGACAGAAUUGGGGUUCCUUGUGCCCCAUAAGUGGUUCCUGUGCCCCAUAAGUGGUUCCACAGGGCAGGAUGGGGGUCCCAGUGCCCCAUAAGUGGUUCCUUGUGCCCCAUAAGUGAUUCCGUGGGGCAGGAUGGGGGGUCCCUGUGCCCCAUAAGUGGUUCCUUGUGACCUGUGAGGAGUGAUAUGGGACAAAAUUGGGGUUCCUGUGCCCCGUAAGUGGUUCCUUGUGCCCCAUAAGUGGUUCCGUGGGGCAGGGUGGGGGUCCCAGUGCCCCAUAAGUGGUUCAUGUGGGGCAGCCCCCCCUGACCCGACGCACCCCGGCCCCACAGAUGCAGGUGGAGGAUCUCCUGUCCACAGACAGCUGCGUGUGUCGCACCGACGACGGCCGCCUGGUGGAGGGAGGCGAUGCUGGAGACGGUGAUCCCUCGCGGCCCCACCGACCGCGUGAUGGUGGUGCUGGGCGAGCACCGCGGCCAGGUGGGACGCAUCCUGGAGCGCGACCCCGAGCGCGGGAGGGCGGUGGUGCAGCUGCGGGGGGGGGUCGUGGAGCUGGGCUACGAUUGGCUCUGCCAUUACCUGGGGGGGGACGAGGACGACUGAUGGAAGCCCCCAAAAUCGCCUUUUUUCACCUCAAAAAUCCACGGCGUGGAAAUAAAGCGGUGUCCCCACGGUUGGGAUUGGAAAAAAAACAACAAAAAACGGUGUUUUCUGGCCCCAAAACGGCUUUUUUUUGGGUGCAAAUCGUGUCUUCUCACCCCAAAAUCGUCGCUUCUGAGAACAAAGUUGCCCUUUUCGGUCCCAAAAUGAUCCUUUUUAGUCCCCAGAUCGCCUUCUUUGACCCCAAAAUCACCACUUCUUGUCUGAAAAUCACGCUUUCUGACCCCAAAAUCGCUUCUUCUGACCCCAAAAUCGCUUCUUCCGACCACAAAAUCGCUUCUUCCGACCCCAGAAUGGCCCUUUUUUGUCUCAAAGUGGCUCUUUUGAGUCCAAAAUCAUCUUUUCUGACCCCAAAAUGGCACUUUUUGUCCCAAAAUCACCUUUUCUGAUUGCAAAACGGCCCUUUCUGUCCG